GAAUUAGUGGCCUAGUUGGUAGAGCGUCUGUCUCGGAUGCGGGAGGUUGUCGGUUCGAUCCCUGGUCGAGUCUUACCA